rnacentral:rRNA from 1 species
GGCGCCUUGCGCGCACCGGCGGACGGCUCAGUAACACGUCGGUAACCUACCCUCGGGAGGGGGAUAACCCCGGGAAACUGGGGCUAAUCCCCCAUAGGCCUGAGGUACUGGAAGGUCCUCAGGCCGAAAGGGGCUUCGGCCCGCCCGAGGAUGGGCCGGCGGCCGAUUAGGUAGUUGGUGGGGUAACGGCCCACCAAGCCGAAGAUCGGUACGGGCCAUGAGAGUGGGAGCCCGGAGAUGGACACUGAGACACGGGUCCAGGCCCUACGGGGCGCAGCAGGCGCGAAACCUCCGCAAUGCGGGAAACCGCGACGGGGGGACCCCCAGUGCCGUGGCAUCGCCACGGCUUUUCCGGAGUGUAAAAAGCUCCGGGAAUAAGGGCUGGGCAAGGCCGGUGGCAGCCGCCGCGGUAAUACCGGCGGCCCGAGUGGUGGCCGCUAUUAUUGGGC